CAGUAGCCGCGGUAAAACGGAGGGUGCAAGCGUUAAUCGGAAUUACUGGGCGUAAAGCGCACGCAGGCGGUCUGUCAAGUCAGAUGUGAAAUCCCCGGGCUUAACCUGGGAACUGCAUUUGAAACUGGCAGGCUAGUGUCUUGUAGAGGGGGGUAGAAUUCCAGGUGUAGCGGUGAAAUGCGUAGAGAUCUGGAGGAAUACCGGUGGCGAAGGCGGCCCCCUGGACAAAGACUGACGCUCAGGUGCGAAAGCGUGGGGAGCAAACAGGAUUAGAUACCCGCGUAGUCCCUGUCCCUUAUAC
rnacentral:rRNA from 1 species